UUUAAGAAUCUAACUGGGUGUCCAAGGGAGAGAAUACAGUCAUGGGUUCUUAGUUUCUGUUUCUGAUUGGGCCAGUAAAGCCCCUUUCUCAUCCCUUUUUU